GUGGGCAGCACCAUCAGAUUCUCCUCCUGCUCACCAAGAACUUGUGGUACUUUGCUGCCAAGAUCUCUGGCCUGGAGGGAAGGAGCCUACUCCUUCUCAGUCUCUGGAGCGUCAAGCUCUCUAACAUCCCGUGGGGGAGGCGCACUCGUGAGGGCAGAGAAGGAGAAGCAGAAAGUACAUACGGACUGGCUAGCGUCCCACUGAAGCCACUGAUGUGGAUGAAGAUACAGGCUGAGUGUGCUGGGAGACCAACCCUUCUGGAUAAGAUUACAGAGUUACCAGAACUAAUAAUCAGCUUCAUUGUCCACCAAACUGCUCUCACAAACACAGGUAUUGUAACUGUGUUACAGUGUUAAAAAGCAUCAAUACUUCUCUUUAAAGCCCAUUCUGUUCCCAGCAGGCUUGGAUGCAUUCAUUGUGGAGGAGUACACUGGAGAACAGUUACAAGUCAACCUUUAGUUCCCAGCGGGGUCAUGCUGAGCUGGACCGUGGAACAUGACCAGAGGCUGGCCAUUCUACACGGUCAUUUAACUUCUCCCAGUAACUCAUUAACUAUUUGUAUUCCUGGAGUGACGAUCGCGUGCCUGUGCGUAGACUCUCCCAAAUGUGUUUGAAGGGUUUUUCUGUGUAACCCUGGCUGGCUGUCCUGGAACCUGUUCUGUUGACCAGGCUGGCCUCAGAUUUGCAGGGAUCCACCUGCCUUCGCUUCCUAAGUGUUGGGCAUCAACUGUGUGUGCCACCAAUACCUGGUGACAAAAUUAUUUUUUAAAGACAUUUCAAGGCCUAUGGAUAUAUAUCAGUUGACACAGGAAUUUCUUUACUGAUGGACCCAGGCUACCUCUGUAAUGUUUAAAGACCUCCAAAUCAAGUUGGCCUUUCUCUUUCUACUUCCCCUAAAGGGCAUGGUGUGCAUGUCAGAGAUCAAGAUGGAGAACUCUCAGCUCCUCUAGCACCACAUCUUCCUGCACGCCGCCAUGCUUCCUGCCAUGAUGAUAAUGGACUGAACCUCGGAAACUAGACAAGAGGAGGCUAUGGCUGGAGUACAUUGGAUGCUCCUGGGUGUGACUAUUACUGAUCAGCACCUUGGAGACCCCUUGCCACAGAAAAGAGUGAUGCCUUACCUCAGGGGGACAAAGAGACUUUGACAUCUUCUAAGUGUCACUUCCACCUCCAGACCUUGUUUUAAGUCUUCCAGGAAGGUUUAAGGUAGUUACUUAAUCACGUUUGUGACUGGGCUCUGUUUCUGUAGGUGACAAAUGGUUUUCAGUAGUAACCAUGAGGAAGAAUCAGUCAUCGUAAUGGCCAAGAAGAAACACCGUGGAAAAUGGUCUUGUAUUGAACCUCUAUACAAUCAUGCUAGCAGGAUAUAAAAGAAAAUAAAAGGGUUUCUGUGACUCCUGCCACUGCCGUGUGACUAUGAAAGCCACCGUGCUGCUCCUCUCUUGGGCCGACUAGGCCCUGGGCAGGGUGGCGAGAGUGCUGUGAAAUGGAAGGAAGGAAGAAGAGGGAGAGAGAAAAUGCAAGCCAUCUCGGGACAGCGUAGACAGAGCACCUACCCAGCCUGUCAGGGUUUGGUUUUAAUCCCCAUCUCUGCGAAAAACAACCAACACAUUAAAAAUAAUUAUUAUGGUGU
ensembl:lincRNA Gm31108 predicted gene, 31108